rnacentral:lncRNA from 1 species
UCAGAAGUUGGUAACAUUAGUGCUUGACAAGUGGCCAGGAGGAGUACAUGUAUUUAGCGUAGUAUUGCCACUCUAUUUUUAAAGCCAAAAAUCUUUAUGAACUAACCUUGAAAACAUAUUAUAUGUUUCUGAAACUGCAUUUUAUGACCCCUUUAAAAAUGUAAACAUUUUUAUUUUAUUCUCAAGAUAUAUCAUAUCAAGGCCCUGAUUAGAGGCGUCUUUUUAAAAUUGUUUUCUAUUGGCAUUUAGCAUUUUUAAAUGCAUUCUGUCAGACAGAGUUUAGCGUUUUAAUUCUUAUCAGUCAGAAAGAAUGUUUUUUUCAGUUUUGAAAACACAAUGGCAAAAUGCAAAAGAAAAUGCAAAAAAGGCAUUCUGUCUGUUCGGGACUAAGGAUGGUUUCACUAUAGUGGUUCAGGUUGUAGGAUUGCUGAAUUGUAGGUUUGGGACAGAAACAAAAGUUGGUUGAUUUUCAACCCUACAAUAUUGAGCAAUUCUUUACUCUGAUUUUUUUGUGUACAUGACAAGUAUAUAAUACUCUAUACUCUGAAAAGAAGAUUAAACAGAUGCACAUUUACAGAGAUCUUUCUGUAAAUCUCCCUGAAGUUAUAUGUCUUUCUUUACAGGCUCUUGUACCUGAACAAUAACCAGAACAGCUGCAAUCAGCAGAAAAUAGAACGAGUCGUCAUAGAGCUAAAAUGGAGGCAAAAGACCUUUGGAUUGCGCUCAUUGCCAGGGUUGUUGUACAACCAGCCGAGUGUGUUGGUAGGGUGAGUAUUGUGUUUUUAGUAUUAACCUGUUAUAGCCCAUUUCCACUCAUGAAUGAAAUGAUUACAGUUCUGUAUGUGUGUUUUUAA